GCUUUCUAACUUUCUUUAUGUCCUAUUUUUAUUUGUUUGAAUAAUGAGAGACAGUAAACGAGAAUAACCGAAAUUGAUCAAUCAUGAAUUCGUACAUCUGAGACUCAAUAAUUAACCUCGUAACUUCGGUUCAUGUAAACGAGAUUCGGAUGAACGAAGUUCUGCCGUUUUAAAUUUCGCGCGAAAUAUACACGAUGGUACUUACAAGUGCAAUUUAACUUUAAGUUAACUUCUUGGAGUUAUUUUGCAAGGUAACCAUUAAAAGUAGGAUUAAUUAAAUAAUCGUAAGAAUAUAGUGAUAUUUAGUUUCAUAUAUAAAUUAUUUACAAUAUUAUGCGAAAUGACUAGUACAACGAAUUCAACAAACAAUUAUAGUUGAAAUAGAUGCAUAUAAAGAAAAUGUAUAUAUGGAUAUUAGUAAUGCUAUUUUAAUAAUUCACACGUCAGGUCUCAUUAAAUUAUUACAUCAAGAUGGCUAACAUUAGCAUCAUAAAAGAAAACCGAAGGAUCAUUCUGGGUUAAGUUCGAUAAAAUAAGUAACGAAUUAACAUCAAAAUAACAACAAUUAGUGCUGAAACUCGUGUCAAUUAAAUGUUACGUCGUAUUAAUUGAGCCAAGCAAAAACAACGAAACACUGAAUGAAAACAAACAAGUGAUGAAAUCAGCGGAAUAGCUUAGCUAAGUCAUCACUGACCAGUAGAUCGAAUUCAUAGUUUUGGUACAAGGCAAAGAUAAUCAUGAUCGAAUACUGCAAAUUUCAGAUCAUUGGAGAGUGCGAAACGGAAAGAUCUGUAAUAGUCAUGAAAAUCUGACCUCUAAGCAAAUAGAGAUACUCGGUAAUAAUAUCAAUCAACCGGCCGGUUUUAGACACGGAAAGAUCCUUGCGUAACUAUAUACCAUAUGUACCGCAUGCAUUGAAAAUGGCAUUGAAGUGGCAGCUCGAACUUAAACUAUAUAUGAUCCCUUAGAAAUGCAUGAUCAAGUGUAUUAUAAAAGCUCACGGUUUGGUGGUGCCUGCGUUCGGCGCUGCGGUCAUCUCCUAUCCGUGUGGAUAAACGUGCACGAAAUUAAUUCAAAUCGAAUUCUAAUCGAUUUCAGCAAAUAACGCUGCCGCAGCUGUUCUUAUCAUGACUGAACUCUUUUUCUCCUAAAACUGUAGAAGUAGUUUACUCUAAUUGCAUGAGAUAACUAUUUUUUCAAAGAAGACGUCAAGGUCAAGGUUUGAAGAGGGAGAGUAUCCUAUUGUAACCGAAAGAUUUGCAGUUAAUGUUGACAUGCAAUAACACAUGUUAUUUGUGACGAUAAUAAAUCUAAGAUUUA